rnacentral:rRNA from 1 species
UACGAAGGGGGCUAGCGUUGCUCGGAAUCACUGGGCGUAAAGGGUGCGUAGGCGGGUCUUCAAGUCAGUGGUGAAAGCCCGGAGCUCAACUCCGGAAAUGCCAUUGAAACUGUAAAACUUGAGGACGAGAGAGGUGAGUGGAAUUCCCAGUGUAGAGGUGAAAUUCGUAGAUAUUGGGAAGAACACCGGUGGCGAAGGCGGCUCACUGGCUCGUUUCUGACGCUCAGGCGCGAUAGCGUGGGGAUCAAACAGG